rnacentral:rRNA from 1 species
GUGGCCUACGUGCUUGAUUCGGGCUCGGACCGAUCCUCCCACCCUUUGUGUACCUACCUCUGUUGCUUUGGCGGGCCGCGGUCCUCCGCGGCCGCCCCCCUCCCCGGGGGGGUGGCCAGCGCCCGCCAGAGGACCAUCAAACUCCAGUCAGUAAACGAUGCAGUCUGAAAAACAUUUAAUAAACUAAAACUUUCAACAACGGAUCUCUUGGUUCUGGCAUCGAUGAAGAACGCAGCGAAAUGCGAUAAGUAAUGUGAAUUGCAGAAUUCAGUGAAUCAUCGAAUCUUUGAACGCACAUUGCGCCCUUUGGUAUUCCGAAGGGCAUGCCUGUUCGAGCGUCAUUACAACCCUCAAGCUCUGCUUGGUAUUGGGCACCGUCCUUUGCGGGCGCGCCUCAAAGACCUCGGCGGUGGCGUCUUGCCUCAAGCGUAGUAGAACAUACAUCUCGCUUCGGAGCGCAGGGCGUCGCCCGCCGGACGAACCUUCUGAACUUUUCUCAAGGUUGACCUCGGAUCAGGUAGGGAUACCCGCUGAACUUAAGCAUAUCAAUAAGCGGAGGAA